rnacentral:rRNA from 1 species
GAUGAACGCUGGCGGCGUGCUUAACACAUGCAAGUCGAACGAUGAAGCCUAGCUUGCUGGGUGGAUUAGUGGCGAACGGGUGAGUAACACGUGAGCAACCUGCCCCUCACUCUGGGAUAAGCGCUGGAAACGGCGUCUAAUACUGGAUACGAAACGCAACCGCAUGGUAAGUGUUUGGAAAGAUUUUUUGGUGGGGGAUGGGCUCGCGGCCUAUCAGCUUGUUGGUGAGGUAAUGGCUCACCAAGGCGUCGACGGGUAGCCGGCCUGAGAGGGUGACCGGCCACACUGGGACUGAGACACGGCCCAGACUCCUACGGGAGGCAGCAGUGGGGAAUAUUGCACAAUGGGCGGAAGCCUGAUGCAGCAACGCCGCGUGAGGGAUGACGGCCUUCGGGUUGUAAACCUCUUUUAGCAAGGAAGAAGCGAAAGUGACGGUACUUGCAGAAAAAGCGCCGGCUAACUACGUG